UAUUAUUAUUCUUUUAGUUGAAAUUUAUAAAUUUGCAAAUCAAAACUGCUGCAAUUGUAAAUUUAAAAAAUUGCAAAUACUGCUAAUGCCAAUCAAAAUAGUCAAAUAAGUUCAGUAGUCACGGUUAGUUAUUAUUGUUCUAAAAAAAGUUCUGUUUCAGUGUGCCGUUUUGGAGUUAAGAAAAUCUUAUUAAUGCAUGUAUUAACCAAACCUAUUGAUAUAUGAUUUCAUUAUAUUAUGAUAAGCAUAUAGUUACUAUAUUUUUAUGAGAAAUUUAAUGAAUCUUCUGAGCACUUUUUUUUUUACUGAAAAUUUUGUUAGAAUUUUUAAUAAUUUUUUAGCUAAUGAUAAUGUUUAAUUUAUUUGGGUAUUUUUUAUUUUCUUUCAAAUUAAUUAUUUCUCAAAAAAUUUUGGAGUAUAAUUUUACAAUGACGGUUUGGUUCUAAAAAAAGAAAAAUGAUUCUAAUCAAUUAUCUAAGAACCUUAGAAUAAAUGUAGAAUAUUAAAUUGCAUACCAAACUUUACUUAUGUUUAUAACAAUAUAAUGUGUAAUCAUUAACUAGUUUAUUUUACAAAUGCAUAUAGUAUAAAUCGCACUUGCACUUAAAUUUGAUUUGCAUUUUAUGUGUAUAUAUAUUUGUUUGAAUAACUUCAUGUAUAUUUUAUUGUGAUAAUGCAGUUUUUCUGUGUAUUCUAAACCUAAGAUUUAUAUACUUUUUGUAAAUACUUUUUAAUCAAUACAUUACUUUCUGGUUACUAUUUUGUCCUGUUUUUAAGUUACUUCUUGUUGGCAAAUUCUAGAAAAAUGUUGUUCAUUUUAACGUUCUGCUUAUUUAUUUUUAAUUCAAGGUUCCUUAUUAAAAGUAGUUAAUGUCUUUUCACUUAAAAUAUUUUAUGAAGUUAAAUACAAAACGUUGAUUUCUUAUAUUUUUGUAAUAAUUUUUUUUUCGAAAUCGUGGUUUAGGCAUGCUUUUGUACCUAUCAAUUCUUUUUUUUUUUUAUCUUUAUAUUCUAAGUGUGAACUUACAUAACUACUAACUGUGAACUUACAUAAAUGUAGAACAGAUUUUCUUUAUUAGUACUAUUUCUCUUAUAUGGUGGUAUUAAAAUCUGCACUUUUGAAAUGUUGGUAAACAGUUUUUGCACUUUUGAGCGACCGCUCACACUUUUGAGUAAUUUUUAUAUAUUAAUCCAUCUAAUCAGAUUAAAUCGCCAAACCUUUCAAAUGACUGACUAUAGUAUUUUCAUAGUCUUGCAUCUAAAAUUCUUCAAAAACUGGCUGGUUUUAUAUUGUUGACUGAAAUUGAUAAGACCUCUGUUAGGCAUAUUCUAAUAAUGUUAAAAUCAUUCUUUUUUCUCAUUGUUUUAAUGCUGUGGCAUACUAGGCCAGCAAUAAAAUUCUUGUGUGCUGCUGUCUACACUUUUUAUUCACAAGCAAUGCAGAUAGCUAAUUUUAAUCCAAAUAUUUUAUAUAAAUUGUUACAGCAAGCGUAUAUUGCUUGCUCAUUGGUUAGGCAUUGGGCUGCCAUUAUGAAGGUUUAUGGUUUAAUCAUCAGUGUGAGCUUGAAGCCCAUCCAGUUUCAGAUGAAUGGGUACCAAUUUGUCAGAGAUGCAAAGACAGCUUGUGCAUAAUGCCGACCACUUUGCCACUAUUAUGCUGUUAAACACAAUAUUGUGAAGAUUUAACCUUCUGACUCACACUGUACUGCAUCAAGAAUGUUUAUUUUACUGUAGUAGUAUAUUUACCCAGUAUGAUUGAUACAUUUCUCAUUUUUGCAAAAUGUGUCAAUCAACACACAUAAGACCAUUGGGACACAUUUUGAGAUUAAAGAGUUAAUUAUCACAUAAAACUGUUAUGAUGAAUUUUAGACACCAGAUUGAAUUGUCACCAUUUCAUUAAGAAUUUUUCAUGCAUUCAGCUAUUAGAUAAAUGUAAGAACAAUUAUUCUUUCAGUGGUGUCUAAUAUUGCUGUUGUACUUAACGUAACUUUAUUUUAAAAGUGAGCUCUUUCUAUUCUGUAUUAUUAGUCCAGUGCUAUCUUUAUCACCUGCUGAUAUUUUUUGAGGAUAAUGCUUUAUUUUUUAUAAGAAAUAAAGAGAGUAGUUUCAUACAAAGGUACUUGGUAUGAGGUACAAAGGUGAACAAUAUCAAUAUUUUUGAUAUUGUUGCACUACAAACUAAAUUGGGAAAAAUUCGACAAAGCAUAUCAAGCUAUAUGCUGAUACAUUUUUUUUCUAUGUAGUACACCACUUUUUUACAAAUAAUUUUAAUAAAAUUGUGUAAAGUUUGCUAUUAUCUAAUUUUUAAUAGAUUUAAAAAAAUUUGUUAAUAUAUCAAUGUUUAAAAUAUUUAAUUUCUAAGAAUCUAUGUUUAAAAUUUUUUUUAAAUUCUCUCUUUAAUUAAUAUGAAAUUUUGGCGCAACUUAAGGACUGGGGACUAAAUAGCCUACAAAGCUCUUGUACUAUCAUUAAUAUUAAUUUUAUGAUUGAAAUAUUAUGCGUCAUAUGCUUAUUUAUUCAAUGUUUCAUCGUUUUAUUUUCCUUAGGUGAGACUGAAAAAUUAUUUCUUUCAUCUCAAUUUUUUGUAUUUCGUUUUCAAUUAAUUAUAUUUCUUUCUAUAAAAUGUCUUUCAGGUUAAAAGUUAUCUCUUCAUAUGAAGUAUAAUUUUUUCUAGUCCAAGAACUAUUUAAGAAGAAAUGCUUGUAUUGAUAUGAAGACGAAAUCUGAUGACUGUGCAAGAUCCUUUGUUUAACCUGUUUCACGGAUGCUAUGCUUAAUUUGUCAUUUACUGGGAAGGAUGCAAUAGUUAGUUAUAUGCUAUAACUAUUAAAGAAACAUAUUAACUUUUUGUAAAAGUCUAAGAAAUUAUUGUUACUAAAAGUGUACUUUUAGUACUUUCAAUCCUGAUGAAAAAAAGUUUAUAACACUUCUAUACAUUGCAGUGUACAUUUAUAUAGAAGUGCUUGUGUAAAACUUAUCAAUUGAUUAAAAAAAAAUGUUAGUCAUUUUUGCUUUAUUAGUAAUUAUUAUGUAUGCAUUGUUCAAGAAUACUGUGUGAAGUUCAGCUGAUUACUCAUAAAUACUCUUAUUAAUUUUGUACAUGCUUGUUUCAGUACAUUGUAUAGAAUUGUACUGUCUGCUCUAAGGUACUGGUUAAAUUAUGUUUCUGUUUUAUACUAGUCAUUGUUAGCUACGCUGUGAUAUUUACAAUUUCAUAAAACAUUUCCCAUAUAUUUAUGCAUGUUGCAUGCUGUCAUUGCUAUUUUAACGAAUUUGUAAAACAAGAAUAUUAUCAGCUGAAUUAUGUGAUAUUUCAACAUUGUUAUGUGAAUAAGAUUAUUCUCUUGUACAACUAUUUUUGAAAUUUAUUUUAAAUAAUAAAAAAAAAUUGUAUGAA